AAUUAGCUCAGUUGGUAGAGCACUCGGCUGUUAACCGAUAGGUCGUAGGUUCGAGUCCUACAUUAG
rnacentral:tRNA from 1 species